CAAAACUCGGUCUCAAAAAAAUAUAUAUAUGUAUAUAUGUGUGUGUGUGUGUGUGUGUAUACGUGCUUUCAUAUUUGAUAUUUGUAACUUUAUGGAGAAAGUAUUUUAUUAUGUAAUGCUGACAUUAAACAAAAUUAUAGGCAAUGUUAGAGAAAUCAAAUAUUUAUAUUUUUAUACAAAUAAUGAAUAGAAGAGUGACAUAUAACCAUCAGAGUAUUUUAUUCUCAAAUUCACAAAAACGAUAAACCAGAAGAUUAAACCUAGAAGAGAUUAGUGGUUAUUGGUAUAUUUAACAGAAUUCAGAUUAAAAGGCUUACAUUUGUAUGGGAAUUAUUGUUUCUCAAGAUUUCGGAAUUCUAUUUAUGUAACCAAAACAAUUAGAAUAAUUCAGAUACUGCCUGUGUAAGUUUACGGCCAAGGUUUCCCUCAAUUUCCCUCUAAACUGGAUAUGUAGUCUUGCUCUUCACCUGCUUCCCUGGAGUCUCCAACUAUGUAAGUAAUUCUCAGAUAAUUGUCUCUCAGUCAUUUUCAGUCAUAGGAACAUGUCAUUUCAGGAAUUCAAAUUCCUAAAUCCAUAUACUAACAAAAUUUUUGAAUUUUAUGCAAAGUUAAAGUUUUUCUUUUUCCUUUGGCUCCAACUGAACUCAGAUGAGAAAAUCAGCACAGAAAAAGGUAGUGUAGAUGACUUCUCUCUUUGUCUCGGGAGAGAAUCUCAGGGAGUUCUUGGAUACAUCCCUACAGAGCCCUGCAGCUACAGCUCCUGACAUGGGUCCUGGAAAUGGCUAGAAUCUGUCCUGAACUCUUGGCAUCUUCUGAUACUCAACAAUGGAGAAUGGCAUGAACGUCAUCCUGCUGCUCUACACAAUAUUGUCUAGACUAUGGGUAGCUAAAAAAUCUAUUUGCAAUUAAUAGUAAAAAAAUAAAAACUAGGUUCUGAUUAAGUAUUCUGCUGUAUUUUGCUAGAAUAUUGGCUACUUAAAUGUUUUCCAUAUAAUUAUUCAAUAAAUAUUUAUUCUGAUAUGGCCCAUCU